rnacentral:piRNA from 1 species
AAGGAAAUCAAUGAUGACGAGGAGACA